rnacentral:rRNA from 1 species
AAUUCACACAUUGAAACCUAUUACCAUCAAUAAACCAAAAUAACUCGACUCAACAUUACUAUAUAAUGUAAAUAUAAACAAAUUGAUAAAAAGCAGUUUUACACGUACCUUUUGCAUCAUGGUAUAACUAGAUAAAUAGUAUUAAAUAAUUCCCCGAAAAUUGACCGAGCUGAUAAUCUGCUGAAUAGCUACCAAUACUACAAUGUUACAAUAUUGUAAUAAGAUAAAUUAUCAGAGGCUACAUACCCCCGCGGCAAUUGAUAGCUGGUUACACUUAUUCUCUGAUCUUAGUCAAACCUGAUAUAACUCACGGCUAAUUACAUAAGGCAAAGCUUACGUAAUUUACUCCUAUAAAUUAUAUGUAAAAUUAAAUAUAGGCUUAACACCAGCCAAUACCCCGUCACUAGGGCUAAUUUAAUAAACAUUAAUACUACCUAUAUUGAGCAUAUAAGUGUAUUAUUCUCCCCCAAAGAAAAAUAAAAAAUGUUAUAACUAGUAUUUCUCCACCCCCCAUUUACCCGUAAAUCAUCAAACCCCAUAAUUCAAACCAACAUUCAAAUAAGGAACUCGGCAAACUUUUAUUCAGCCUGUUUAACAAAAACACCGCCUGUUGAAUAUAUAACAGGUCCAUCCUGCCCAGUGAAGAAUUUUCAACGGCCGCGGUACCCUGACCGUGCAAAGGUAGCAUAAUCAUUUGCCUUUUAAUUGAAGGCUAGUAUGAAAGGACAAACAAGAAUAAAGCUGUCUCAUUUGAAUUCACCAUAAACUGAUAUUAAGGUGCAGAAGCCUUAAUUUAAAUAAAGGACAAGAAGACCCUAUAGAGCUUUAUUAAUAAAAACAUUAAAUUUCCACAUUAAUUUGGUUGGGGCAACCUAAAUACACAUAAACCUAUUUUCAAUAAAUUUAAGACAUAAACCUAAAAUUAAAUUAGAAUAAGCUACCUUAGGGAUAACAGGCUAAUCCUGCUAGAGAGAUCACAUUGACAGCAGGGGUUGGCACCUCGAUGUUGGCUUAGCGUAACUAUUAGGCGCAGCCGCCUAACUUAGUUGGUUUGUUCAACCAUUAAACCGCUACAUGAGCUGAGUUCAGACCGGCGUAAGCCAGGUUAGAUUCUAUCCUUAUUAUAUUAAUACCCUAUAGUACGAAAGGACCUAGUAGUAUAAAUAACAUUUUAUUUAAAUACAUUACAUU